ACAGUUCUGUACUGAAAGUUGAAGUCCGCUAUUGGAGAUCAAAUUUUUACUAAAAGAUGAAGCACACCUUCUGUUUCAAAGGACUGCAGCUGGCUCUUGAGGGGAGCACUCAUAAAGCAUGGCCACUUAGGAUCUCAGUUGAAAGGACCUGCCAAAUUACACCUUCAAAAAGGCAUGAAGGAGCCUUAUGAACUACGUGGAGUCGCCCCCUCUGCUCCUGAUGACUCCUCAGUUAACAAGACACAAGGACUAAAGGAAAGUACUCAUCUUUUCCACAUUUUGUAAGGGAUGCUAAUGUUGGGAAGUUCAUGGGAACAUGAAUAAAAGGAUGGCAUCCUCUACUGCACGAAGACAACCAGUGGAAGUUAUGAAAGUUCUACUUCUAAAGGUAAUUGUCUCUAAGCAUUUCUCUGUUGCUCUUUUUAUUUUGCAUGAGCCAUACCCGAUAAAUUGUCCUGUGUAGGAGUGGUUCUGAUGCCUUAGAAAGGCAACCCAAAUUAUGUAUGAACAGCUAGUUCCAAUGCUCAUAGAAACACAUUAGAAAAACAUUACAUAGAAGCAAUAAUUUGAGAUCCCAAACACGUUUUUUCCCCAUUAAUGAUGUUUCAAAAUGCAGAAAGCACUUCUGUGAAGCAUGAAGGAUGGUCAGGGUUAGCUAAUGAGGCUGAUAGGUAAAAUUGCUGCAUGCUUGAUCUGCCUUGGCCCCUAACACUUAUUUGGACAUGUCUUAUUAUUGUGUGGGUGUUAAGUCUGCCCAAGCUCAUAAUCCAUAGAUAUAUGGUCAUUUACAGUGUUUAUGUCUCUGUCUUGGAUAGCUGGAACAAAGUGAUCAGAAUGUAGUUUGCUAAGUUCAUACAGAAAAUUUCUCAUGGCCAACCUGAGCAAACUAAUUGCUGUCAUUAACAUGGGAGUCAUAUGAGCUGUGAUAAUGAUACAGAUAAUGAACUCCCCACCUUUGGCCAUCACUUUAUUACCUACAGGGUCAGUAAAGAAUUUAUUCAACCCUCAGUUGCAUUUUAUAAUUGGCUAUUUGUACCUGGGAAUAUUUUGGCACCUACAGUAUCUUCAGAUAUCAUCCAUUGACUGUAAAAAAUGUAU